GACGAACGCUGGCGGCGUGCUUAACACAUGCAAGUCGAACGGAAAGGCCCUGCUUUUGUGGGGUGCUCGAGUGGCGAACGGGUGAGUAACACGUGAGUAACCUGCCCUUGACUUUGGGAUAACUUCAGGAAACUGGGGCUAAUACCGGAUAGGAGCUCCUGCUGCAUGGUGGGGGUUGGAAAGUUUCGGCGGUUGGGGAUGGACUCGCGGCUUAUCAGCUUGUUGGUGGGGUAGUGGCUUACCAAGGCUUUGACGGGUAGCCGGCCUGAGAGGGUGACCGGCCACAUUGGGACUGAGACACGGCCCAGACUCCUACGGGAGGCAGCAGUGGGGAAUAUUGCACAAUGGGCGGAAGCCUGAUGCAGCAACGCCGCGUGCGGGAUGACUGCCUUCGGGUUGUAAACCGCUUUCGCCUGUGACGAAGCGUGAGUGACGGUAAUGGGUAAAGAAGCACCGGCUAACUACGUG
rnacentral:rRNA from 1 species